rnacentral:misc_RNA from 1 species
UAACAAACGCAGCCACACAGGGCGCGAAAUUCAUCCUCUACUAGUACAGACACAGAGCGAUCUGACCAGAGGGACAGAGUGAGAUAAAAAAGAUUUGUCGUUUGAGGUGGAAGAAAAUUUAAAAUAAAAAGAAGCUAUUAUAAAAUGAAGAUGCUGUUAACACCAUUUAUUGUUACAACAUUGCUGUUAACCGCUAGAGCUGCUGACAGAUGUGGGGACAGAUGUAAAUCUACUCAAGUAUGUUCAGAUGAUGGAAUAUGUGUAAAUAAAUUGGACUUAGUAAAAUGUGGUGAUGCAUGGUUCUCGUACUACUGCCACAAGGGGAACGAGUGCUGCGCUUUUAAUGGUUGUAUGCCAGUGGGUGGUUUAUGCUGUGGCAGCAUGUUCUAUUGUCCGAGUGGCAAUACUUGUUGUAUUGUUACAAAGCGGGAACUUUCUGUGAUGGAAAGGGGAAUUGUGUUUUAGAUAAGUAGAAUGAAUUCGUGCGGUAAAACUACAUACAUAAAGAAACUUCUAAAACAGUCUGAAGGGGCAUUUUCUAUGCUUCCGUCGAGGGUAGUAUUCUGUUACAAUGUUUACCAGUCACUUUUCACAGAAAUUGGACAAACUGUACCUAACAUAAGUUUUUAUCAAGGUCUGCCAGAUCGUGCAACAAUUGAGCAAUGGGCCGAGGCAGAAACUCAUCUUCUGAUAGUGUAACCCUAACCCUGGGGGGUUCGUUUUGAGGAGGCUGCGCUUUUGGUGCGUUGCAUUCCCUGUUUGAUAUUUUUCUUUGUUUUGAUGAUUUAUAUUACGAGUUACUACAGUCAAAGUCAUUUUGUGAUCUCGUAAUAAUGCUAUCCCAUCAUCUCAAUAUUAGUUCUAAAAUGACAAGUCAUAAUAUAUUCAUGUGCGGCAAAUAUAGCAAAACAAUUUCAACGAACCUGCAUUACAUAAUGUUAUUUACAUUGCGAAACAGGAUGCAGUUGUCCGUUUUAGGAGGUCAGUUAUUCUGCCAUAAAGGAAAGGCAAAAAACUUUAUUAAAGUUUACGACAUGGUGUCAGGAGACAAUAAUAUUGGAAACCCACUUAUUAUUGACAAUUCACCUAGGUCAUCAAACAAACUGUAUAAGCUCCGUUCAAAUUGUUUACCAGGGGAAUUUCCUAUUGUUUACGAGAUAAGCUAAAUGGUAAAAAAACUUACUUAAAACAGUUUCAAUUGUUAAAUUCAUUGUCAUUGAUCGGAUCAGGAAACACAUACAUUUACUGCAGUAUUUAAGGACUGUAGAAAAUUGUGUUCAGCGUAGAAAGGUGUUAGAAACGGCCUCAUCCGAUCAAAUAAUAACUUUAUCAGAAAUAGCGUAAAAUAUUUUGGAAGGCGUGUUUGAUUUAUCCGUGUCUGAAUUACUAACACUUAACAGAUACAAACAUAUACUGAGGAAGUUAGCUUCCAGAAGGAUUUCUAAUUCUGACAAAAGAGUGCGUUGUUAAGAAACAGUGUAUCCAUUAAACACUUGAUACAAGUUUUUUUCAAUCACUUUUCAUUGUAUGAAACAAAUGGACGAGGAGGGGGUAAGGAAACUAAUUUUACUACCUCAAACUCAGUACCAGCAGUUAAUUUCGAACAAGGAAAAGAAAACGGAAAACAUUCAACAAUCGACGCCGCAAGUACCGCCGCCACCGACGACGACGACGAAUACGCCGACAACAACUACGACUAAUGAUCAGUAUAAGUGCGUUAAACCACAAAUAGAGUCGAGGGGACGUGAAGACGUCCUUGACUACCGUUACUCAGAAUAUGAAGACAUAAUUCAAAAAGUGUUACGAACAAUAGAGUGUAGUUAUCCUGCAGGUCAAAUAAGGGGAUGCGUAGACUCUUAAUGUAUAUUGUUAAUUUUGGAAAUAAUUCUAUCCGGAUUUGCGCCAAUGGAAAUAUUUUGAUCAACGGAAAAUUGCUAGACUCAAAAUCAAACAUAAUUGAGCUUCUAGAAGCGACUGUGAGUUCCAGGUUUAAUCAGACUCAGAGAAAGCCUCCCGGAUAUGACGCCUUUAUCUUAGCUUUUAAGAGUAUAAAUGUUCCGAAAUCAUUUAUAGAUAUCGACCUGAAGAGCAGACACAAUUGUACAAAAAGCGAUGUAGGCGGGAAAUUGAAUACGUCAAAAACAAUUUUUCGGUGGAAGCCUUAUUGACAAAGUGUUCUUGUCUCAAAAAUUAUAAACAAAUCAGAUUUACGUGUAUAAGUCAAUGAAUAUGGACACGGAUAGUGAGUUUAACGCCAUUGUAAGAAAUUUCGACUCCAUGAUUUAUUUUCCGGGUAAUACUGCAUCAAGUUUCCGCGUAAGCUUUGCAAGGGAUCUCAGAUUUGAAGGAACUUGGGCCCUUUCAUUAAACCAUGUUACCAUUACACAGCCUCUUGAUGAGCCUUUGCUGGACGGAAAAGAUGUCUACAUCAGCUGUGACAUAAUUGAACAUUCAUUUGUUGGUAGUGAUUUAAAACCUAUAUUGCACAAAAUCAAUCUUGGUAAGGGGAUAGAGAAUAAUGGACAUGUGAUAUACACAUCAAGCAGUUAAAACAGACGUGCAGCUGUGGGGCUUUUCUUGGUACACAAGUACGCGAGAGUUUCUGUACCUUGUUGUUCUUACAUUCAUUUCACACUUGAAAACGAAUUUGCUAAACUCUUACCAGUCAGUGAUAAAACGAAUGUAUCUCUUUCACUGCAUUUCAAACGUAUAAAAACUUAAAGCUGCACGACUCAGAUUUAUGUCAUUUCUUUUAAAUAUGUAGAAAAUGCUAUAAAAAUACUCUUUUGUUCAAUACUAAUAUAUAGAGCACUCUCAGAAGUGUUAAUUACGCUAUUAAAAUUUGAUACAUAAGAAGGAAUUUAUCUUCAUAUCAGUAACAACUAUCUAUUAAACAAUACAUGUGUAUCAUUUUGGAUACUUAAUAUUAUUUGCUAUCUAUUUUUUUCCAAUUCAAAUUUUGAUGUUCAUCUUUAACACCAGAAAAGAGACCGGAAAAAAAUCCCACACACUACAGCCUGUUGUCAUUUAAAAUUGUCACCAUAUUGCAUUACGAGCCGAUUUAUUAUUAUUAUUAUUAUCCGUCAAUACGUAAUACACAGAACUAACACAAAGUUAAAUUUGUAACUUUUAUUUUUCAAUCAUACAUUUAUUGUGAAACACUAUGUUCAGAAGUAUAAGUAAAUCUUGUGUGCAUGUGUAUCAAAUACUUUUUUAACUAGUUUUCUGUCUAUGUUCAACCUGUCUUCUUAAUAUUUCUUUUAAAAGUUCACAAGUUUGUAAGUCCUCUGAAACUAGUAAAAGUCUAAUAUCCAUCUCUAGGUAAACACUUGUGUGUAUUAAAUACUUUUUAACUAGUUUUCUGUCCCUCGAUAUUAAACGUGUCUUCUUGAUAUUUCUUUUAAAAAUUCACAAGUUUGUAAGUCCUCUAAAGCUAGUAAAAGUCUAUAUAUCCACCUUUAGGAAAACACUUGUGAAAUAUCAUGAAUGUUUAAAAGGUAUAAUCUAUGUAUCUGUGCACAUAUAUGUUAAUUGUUAUAUUCAACUAUUGUUCAGUCUUUUAUAAUAAAUGAUCAUCUUAAUUA